GGAUCCCAAAGGGCGGUUANUCGGGAUAUUAACUUGGGGCGGUAAAGGAGGUUGGCGUAGGGUGAGCCUAAGUAAAGCAAACAAGUGAAAGGCGGUGGUGGCUCAACCAUACAGCUAAUUGUUGAAACUCGCUAAAGCUAGAGCAUUAGGAGAGGGUAGCUGGAAAUUGCUUGGUGUAGGAGUGAAAAUCCGUAGAUAUCAGCAGGAACACCGAUGGCGUAGGGCAGGCUACUGGCCUAUUGCUGACACUAAGGCACGAAAAGCGUGGGGAGCGAACGGGAUUAGAUACCCCCGGUAGUCCACGCCGUAAACGAUGGAUGCUAGCUGUUAUCGGUAUCGACCCCCGGUAGUAGCGAAGCUAACGCGUUAAGCAUCCCGCCUGUGGAGUACGAGCGCAAGCUUAAAACAUAAAGGAAUUGACGGGGACCCGCACAAGCGGUGGAGCGUGUUGUUUAAUCCGAUGCUAAGCGGAGAACCUUACCAGGGCUUGACAUCCUGCGAAGGUUUCCGAAAGGAAACUGUGCCGUUUGGAACGCAGUGACAGAUGAUGCAUGGCCGUCGUCAGCUCGUGUCGUGAGAUGUUUGGUUAAGUCCAUUAACGAGCGCAACCCUUAUAGCUAGUUGGAUUUCUCUAGCUAGACUGCCCCGGUAACGGGGAGGAAGGAGGGGAUGAUGUCAGGUCGUCAUUUCUCUUACGUCCUGGGCUACAAACACGCUACAAUGGCCGGUACAAAGGGCAGCUAAGUCGCGAGACGGAGCAAAUCCCAGCAAAGCCGGUCCCAGUUCGGAUUGUAGGCUGAAACUCGCCUGCAUGAAGCCGGAAUCGCUAGUAACGGUGGGUCAGCACACUACCGUGAAUACGUUCCCGGGUCUUGUACACACCGCCCGUCAAACCAUGAAAGUCGCCAAUACCUGAAGUGCUAUCUUUGAGUAGCCCUAAGGUAGGGGAGAUGAUUGGGGUUAAGUCGUAACAAGGUAGCCGU
rnacentral:rRNA from 1 species